rnacentral:rRNA from 1 species
GACGAACGCUGGCGGCGUGCCUAAUACAUGCAAGUCGAACGCAGUGGGGACGGGCGAGUAACACGUGGGUAACCUCCCAUCAGAGGGGAUAACACUUGGAAACAGGUGCUAAACCGAAAUUGAUGGAUGGACCCGCGGUGCAUUGGCUAGUUGGUGGGGUAACGGCUCACCAAGGCCACGAUGCCUAGCCGGCCUGAGGGAGUGAUCGGCAAAACUGGAACUGAGACACGGCCCAGACUCCUACGGAAGGCAGCCGUAGGGAAUCUUCGGCAAUGGACGAAGGUCUGACCGAGCAACGCCGCGUGAGGGAAGAGGGUUUUCGGAUCGUAAAACUCUGUUGUUGGAGAGGCGGUAUCUAACCAGAAAGCCACGGCUAACUACGUGCCAGCAGCCGCGGUAAUAC